AUUGAACGCUGGCGGCAGGCCUAACACAUGCAAGUCGAGCGGCAGCGGGAAGUAGCUUGCUACUUUGCCGGCGAGCGGCGGACGGGUGAGUAAUGUCUGGGAAACUGCCUGAUGGAGGGGGAUAACUACUGGAAACGGUAGCUAAUACCGCAUAACGUCGCAAGACCAAAGAGGGGGACCUUCGGGCCUCUUGCCAUCAGAUGUGCCCAGAUGGGAUUAGCUAGUAGGUGGGGUAACGGCUCACCUAGGCGACGAUCCCUAGCUGGUCUGAGAGGAUGACCAGCCACACUGGAACUGAGACACGGUCCAGACUCCUACGGGAGGCAGCAGUGGGGAAUAUUGCACAAUGGGCGCAAGCCUGAUGCAGCCAUGCCGCGUGUAUGAAGAAGGCCUUCGGGUUGUAAAGUACUUUCAGCGGGGAGGAAGGUGCUGAGGUUAAUAACCUCAGCAAUUGACGUUACCCGCAGAAGAAGCACCGGCUAACUCCGUGCCAGCAGCCGCGGUAAAAC
rnacentral:rRNA from 1 species